rnacentral:rRNA from 1 species
CCUACGGGAGGCAGCAGUGGGGAAUAUUGGGCAAUGGAGGAAACUCUGACCCAGCGACGCCGCGUGCGGGAUGAAGGCCUUCGGGUUGUAAACCGCUUUCAGUAGGGAAGAAGCGAAAGUGACGGUACCUACAGAAGAAGCACCGGCUAACUAUGUGCCAGCAGCCGCGGUAAUACAUAGGGUGCAAGCGUUGUCCGGAAUUAUUGGGCGUAAAGAGCUCGUAGGUGGUUCGUCACGUCGGAUGUGAAGAUCUGGGGCUCAACCCCAGACCUGCAUUCGAUACGGGCGAUCUAGAGUGUGGUAGGGGAGACUGGAAUUCCUGGUGUAGCGGUGGAAUGCGCAGAUAUCGGGAGGAACACCAAUGGCGAAGGCAGGUCUCUGGGCCAUUACUGACACUGAGGAGCGAAAGCGUGGGGAGCGAACAGGAUUAGAUACCCUGGUAGUCCACGCCGUAAACGGUGGGCACUAGUUGUGGGAACCUUCCACGGUUUCUGCGACGCNGCUACGCAUAAGUAGCCCGCCGUCGGGAGGUACGAGUCGCGAGAAGUUAAACGUAACGUAAAGGUAAAGUUAGUUACGGCGUGAGAGUGCCGACGGCGACGACGAGGGAGGAGG